CCGGGUUUUCAGCAGCGAGACGUCUCCAAUCUCCUUCCCCCCCUCCCCGCCUGGCCACGAGGCUGGGUGGGGGAGGGGAAACACGUGGUCGGCUCAGGUUUAAGCCUGCUCUGCUCUGUUCCUGAUCACAUCCCACAAGAGUUGUUAGAGAAAAAACAUAUAUUCAUGGGUGCACUAACAUCUGGCCAGUGUUAACCCAUGACAAGGGGAUGGCCCGCCUGCCCCCUCACGGGCUGGCCCUCGUCCCUGCUGGCAUUUUGGCUGCUGUCCUGGACACUGGGCAUUAAUCAGACAUUUGUCCAACCCCUUCUCCUGAGCUUGGUCGGUAGAAAUGCAUUUAUUGGUCCUUGGGCUGCCCAUCUCUGAGUAAUGAGGGGGCAGAGUCACUGAGGAACAGCCCACAAAGAAUCUCCAGGGGAUCCCUACAGAGUUCAGCUGGAAUAACUUCCAGACUCCCAGCAGCCACUUCUAUGCACUUCUUGGAGACUUCCUCUCCCAAGACCAGAAAGAAGCCAACAAAUUGGUCCUACUGAUCCUGUGUUUCAGGUGACUGAUAUUACCUUGUCUGACUGUGAUUUUCUAAAUGCUGUGACUGUGGACGUAGUAUCGAAUCACUUCUGAAGGAUAACACAUUAUCUUCAUUUGAGGAGGGAAAUCCUAACUUUGAAUUAGAGGAAGAACUUACCACUUCAGGAAAGACAUCAACUGGAACAUUCUAACAGAAGGAAGGUUAAAGAGUAAGGAUCAUUUAACCUGCAGCUCCAUAACAAAAAAAGAAGAGAGAUGCUGCAAUUUUAAGACCAUACAGAGCUGUGACAGAUGAUCUUGUAUCUUUCUGCUGCCUAAAAUUUUUCUGCUCCUCACUUUAGAAACACUAAAAUGUUUCUACUGCUUUCAUCUUUGGAACUGUGGACGGUUUGUAAGACAUGCUGCUUUAGAAAAUCCAGCUGUGACAUCACCAGUGGUUUGAUUUCUGGCACCAGUCCUCCUGUGCGUGCUGGCAGCUGGGGAGUCCUUGACCACUGGCAGUGUUUGGUCCAUUUGGCAUCUUCCCUGUGAGUACAUCAACAGGCAUGACCAGCUCCUUAUAUCUCACCUCCAAAAUUGAAGAAGUCUGGAUUGUGUAUCUCUGACUGAUCUUGAUUAUCAUUGUUCUUGUUCUAAUGAAACAAAACCCACAUAUGGAAGAGGCAAGGAAGGAGAGGGAAAGCAAACUGUUCCUGCCAUCCUCUUCUUUCUUCCCCAGUAAUAUUGGCAAACAACUGGAGUAUACCCAGGAAAAGCUGGGCCUGAAGCAGCUGUUCAGCCUAAGACUGACACUGGUAAGAGCUGUGGCUGGUAAAUGUCCCCGCAGCACACACUGCCUGUUUUAUAUCACUGCAUUGGCUGAAGAGGUGAGGUGGUCACAGCUGUGACACCUGUCUGCUCACAGUUGUGUCCAUCUGUCAUGUUCAUGGAUCAAGGAACUGCAGAGCACAAGGGCUGGCCUGACAUCCUGUAUGACAGCAUACAGCUGGACUGCAUGCUUCAUAAGAGAAGGUGGGAUUUGGCUACAGAGAGCAAAUUCCAGCCAAUCCCUGGCUAAACAUAAGCAGGCAGGUAUUGGUCAGUGAGCUGGGUACCAAUCAUAGCCAAUCAGGUUCGAACGUGGAGUCUUCUGAAUGGCCUGUAUAAGAGGUGUGCACACUCUCUGCUGCAUGAAACCCCAAUGUCAUGUGGUCUCUCUGUCUCCUCUGAUUUCAACAGUCCUGAGCCUCCAGCUGUGUUUUGCCUUGCAUCAUAUCUCCCGAUGGGUUGGAGUCACAACGUAUGCAUCUUCCUGUCCAGUUUGUUCCUGCCUGGAGCUGCCAGAGGAUAGGCUGCACCCACCUGCCUGCAUUGCUCACCCCACAGGGCUCCUAUUAUAUGAGAUUGUUGGUUGGAGACCGAUACAUGACAUGGUGGCUCACCAAGGGUCAUCAACAAACAGCUCUGAGUUUAUUAUGGUUGCCCCUUUUAUAGCGGGUUUGAAUUUCCCGGGCUUGGAUAGCUGAUUGGCUGAGGUCACUACCCAGCUCCUUAGCCGGUGAUAUGUCUGCAUUCUGGAUUGAACAUGAUUGGCUGAGGUCCUGGUUUGAGUUCAAAUCUAUCCUAUGAUUGCUCACCCAGGGACUUGUUCUAAAAUUAACUAGGCUUAGUCAAAUUGAAUAUUCCGUUAUGGCCAGAUUUAUUCCUCCAGCUACAGACCCAGCUGGGCUGUGACAAGUUCCCAUCUCAGCCCUAGGUUUGGGUGGUUCCAUGGGUAUGAUCUGUUCACCAGCUUCAGACUCUCGUGGUACUGUCAAGUACAGUCUCUGUGAGAGCUUCAGAGCUAGCAGAGGAUUUGUUUGGCUCAGGCCUUUCUGGAGCCACUCGGAACCAGCAUUCCAGAAAUGCUCUGUGUCAUCAUUGUUGUCCUCUGCCUUCAAGUAACAUUGGCACUGAGUAGAUACUUUCCUUCCUACCACGAAGGCCUGUCAGGGUUUGCUCCUGCUCCUCCUCCUCCCGGAGUCACUGCCUACAUCCCACUCUUGCAGUCUUCAGACAGGUCUCAUUCCUUUUUACUUGGGUUCUCCUUCCCUUUUCCCUUCUGUUUCCCAAUAGCUCCAUGUUCCACAGUGUGUGGCAACAGCUUGCAGCAGAAAUGCCCUGCAUCCCUCCUGGAGGAGGCCUGUAGUGAACCCAGGGGUUUGGUGGGGUAGGGUGAGAAUGAGAUUGAGGUAUCUUUAGAGGCUCCCAUCCACCUGAGUGAGGGGACCACUUGGUGUUGCAAUUCUGUUGCAGCCAAGGCAAAAAUCAAGGCCAGGUACAUUUGCUGUUUCUUGGGGAUAAAUAUCUCAGGUUUUUAGGACAACUGCAGACUCCAUCCAACCAGGUACUCACUGACUGGAGCUAGAUGGCUCCACAGCAAGCCCUUCCCUGCUCCUCUCAGCAGCCAUUGCUUUCUACCCAGCCCAUGGCCCUGGCAGCACCCCAUGGCACUGUGAGAAGAGGUGAUGCCAAAAAAGAGGAAGGCAGCAUCUCAGGAAACACCAAAGCUCUGGCCUGGCCAGCCUCUUUGGCCCAUUUGGUGCAGUGGCUGCCCGUCCCAGGCCAUCCAAAGCUAUCCCACAGCCUGGGACUGUUUUAGCUGGGGCUGCCUGGCUUGGCUUUUCUGGCUAAGAGGACAAAGGGUCUGUGUGAACACUGGUGGAAUCAGGGCUGGACAUGGUUCUCACUCUCAGGGUCCAUCCCAAAUCUGUCACCUUUGGCUCUAUUCAUGACUGUGAACAGAGAGCAAAGCUAGACUCUGCUGGGGCUGAGCCACACGACCUUCUUUAGAGCUUUUGUACCUGUUCAGUGGCUCUCCAAAGACCCCUCCCACAGGGCAGCAAUCAGAAGUUAGAGUAGUUGGCUGCAACACUGGGAGGCAGUGGCAGAGGCUGAGUGGGGGAGAAGAGCCAAUGCAGAUGGUAGAAGUGUUCUGGGCUGCUGAUCCGCUCCAUUGUUCUGCUGAACCCGAAGUGUCACAUCUACUUGGUUUUCUAAUCUGUCCAGGGAUGGGGACUCUAACACUGCCCUGGGCAGCCUGCACCAGUGGUUUACAACCCUUUCUGUGCAGAAAUUUUCCCAAAAUUCAAUCGAAACUGCCCCUGAUGCAACUUGAGGCUGUUUCCCCUUGUCAUGUCCCUGUUCCCUGGGAGCAGAGCCUGACCUCCCCCUAGCUGCCCCCUCCUGUCAGGGAGUUGUGGAGAGCCAGAAGCUCCCCACUGAGCCUCCUUUUCUCCAGGCUGAGCCCCCUCAGCUCCCUCAAAUAUUCCUGUUGUUAUAAAUGCAUAUAAUUGGCUUUUUGCACAUAUUAAAAUGAAUAUCCCAUGUGUUAUGUUGGGAAGUUAUGCUGUAUUUAUAUAGUUUCUUUCAGUAAUAUGGUAAAUAUAGUUUUUAGGUUAUAGAAUAGUAGUAAAAUAGAAACUAUGUUAUGUAAAGAUGCUUUUGUCAUUAGCUCAAGAAAUAGAGAAGAUAACCAAAGAAUUUUUUCACAGUAUCCUAGCUUGAUAAGAGAUAGCAGCAACGACUCUAAAAAGGCUCUGAGAAAAGAUUUAUAGGGCAUAUCGCUAUGACUGAAUGGAGCCAUGAGAAGACCAGAUUUGUAGAUGAAAAAGAGAAGGGGGGGAGAUGAGAUUAAACAGGAACACCUAAGGUUUGAAAGGAAUGUUUGAGUCAUGUAUGUAAUGUAUGAAUAUUCAACACACAAGGGGAUGAGUCUUUUGUAAAGUGGUGUACCUGCAUGGUGAAUCCCAUGUGAAGGUACCCAGGCGUCUGUAAAAGAAUACUUUUGUUCUUAUUGUCUCCUGAUUGUUUGUAUUUUUUUAUUAAACUUUUA